UACGGGAGGCAGCAGUGGGGAAUAUUGGACAAUGGGCGCAAGCCUGAUCCAGCCAUACCGCGUGGGUGAAGAAGGCCUUCGGGUUGUAAAGCCCUUUUGUUGGGAAAGAAAUCCAGCCGGCUAAUACCUGGUUGGGAUGACGGUACCCAAAGAAUAAGCACCGGCUAACUUCGUGCCAGCAGCCGCGGUAAUACGAAGGGUGCAAGCGUUACUCGGAAUUACUGGGCGUAAAGCGUGCGUAGGUGGUCGUUUAAGUCCGUUGUGAAAGCCCUGGGCUCAACCUGGGAACUGCAGUGGAUACUGGGCGACUAGAGUGUGGUAGAGGGUAGCGGAAUUCCUGGUGUAGCAGUGAAAUGCGUAGAGAUCAGGAGGAACAUCCAUGGCGAAGGCAGCUACCUGGACCAACACUGACACUGAGGCACGAAAGCGUGGGGAGCAAACAGGAUUAGAUACCCUGGUAGUCCACGCCCUAAACGAUGCGAACUGGAUGUUGGGUGCAAUUUGGCACGCAGUAUCGAAGCUAACGCGUUAAGUUCGCCGCCUGGGGAGUACGGUCGCAAGACUGAAACUCAAAGGAAUU
rnacentral:rRNA from 1 species